rnacentral:rRNA from 1 species
UACGGAGGAUCCGAGCGUUAUCCGGAUUUAUUGGGUUUAAAGGGUGCGUAGGCGGAAAUGUAAGUCAGUGGUGAAAUCCUGCAGCUUAACUGUAGAAUAGCCGUUGAAACUGUGUUUCUUGAGUACAUUUGAGGUAGGCGGAAUGUGCAGUGUAGCGGUGAAAUGCAUAGAUAUUGCACGGAACACCAAUUGCGAAGGCAGCUUACUGGGCCAUUACUGACGCUCAGGCACGAAAGCGUGGGGAGCAAACAGGAUUAGA